rnacentral:ribozyme from 12 species
CCAUCCUUUUUUGUUUCUUUUGUUACCAUUAUUUUUGUUAUUACCAUUAUUUUUGUUAUUGCCAUUAUUUUUACUAUUU